rnacentral:rRNA from 1 species
ACUAACAACAUGUAUCUGCUUCUCAAUAGCUUAUCUCAUCAGAACUUCACAGUUAAGGGUGCUUGACUUGAAGAAAUAUAAGGUUGGGUGACCUUCUGGGAAGUUUCCCGAAAAUUGUGUAAGUA